AAUAGAUACCCGGGUAGUCCACGCCGUAAACGAUGGGCACUAGGUGUGGGAGGUGUCGACUCCUUCCGUGCCGAAGCUAACGCAUUAAGUGCCCCGCCUGGGGAGUACGGCCGCAAGGCUAAAACUCAAAGGAAUUGACGGGGGGCCCGCACAAGCAGCGGAGCAUGUGGUUUAAUUCGACGCAACGCGAAGAACCUUACCUGGGCUUGACAUGUUCCUGACCGGUGUGGAAACACAUCUUCCCUUCGGGGCAGGAUCACAGGUGGUGCAUGGCUGUCGUCAGCUCGUGUCGUGAGAUGUUGGGUUAAGUCCCGCAACGAGCGCAACCCCCGUCGUAUGUUGCCAGCAUUUAGUUGGGGUACUCAUACGAGACUGCCGGUGACAAACCGGAGGAAGGUGGGGAUGACGUCAAGUCAUCAUGCCCCCUUAUGUCCAGGGCUACACACGUGCUACAUUGGCCGGUACAAAGGGCUGCGAUACCGCGAGGUGGAGCGAAUCCCAUAAAGCCGGUCUUGGUUCGGAUUGGAGGCUGAAACUCGCCUCCG
rnacentral:rRNA from 1 species